AUGGUUUCCUUGCUGACAGGAGUCUGGAGUGAGAUCAGACUGGACCAGUCUCCAUCUGAGCUGAAAAGACCUGGAGAGACAGUCAAGAUGUCAUGUAUCACAUCUGGUUAUAGCAUGACCAGCUACUAUAUCCACUGGAUACGACAGAGACCAGGAGAAGCUCUGGAGUGGAUUGGGAGGAUGAACACAGGCAAUAACGCUGCCAGCUAUGCCAGCGCCUUCCAAAAUCGUUUCCUCAUGACUGAAGAUGUGUCCAGCAGCACUCAGUACCUGCAGAUCAAGAGUCUGACAGCUGAAGAUUCUGCUGUUUACUUCUGUGCUCGAAGAGACACAGUGACUGAAGACAGUGAAGCAGCUGCACAAAAACCUCCACAGAUGUCAGACAGCAGUGUGACAUUAGUGACAUCUGGAUUUUCUUGUUAAAGAACUUAUUUUUCUUUGAGUUUUGGAUACUAUAAUGAAUAUUUAUUUGUUUUUUAUCAUGACAUUACUGAACUCUCCAACAUUGUUCAAUCAUCUUGUUUUGUUGAAUUUUUUUUUGUCACCGCCUUCAGGCACAUAAAAAGUUUAAAGGAACAUUAGAUGUAA